rnacentral:pre_miRNA from 15 species
UAUCAUAUGUUUUUGCAUUAGGCUUGAACUAAUCACGUCGCUAACUGCAUGAACUUUCAUGCAGUUAGCGACGUGAUUUGUUCAAGCCUAAUGCAAAAACAUAUGAUC